rnacentral:rRNA from 1 species
GAUGAACGCUAGCGGCAGGCUUAAUACAUGCAAGUCGAGGGGCAGCACGAAUAGCAAUAUUUGGUGGCGACCGGCAAACGGGUGCGGAACACGUACAGAACCUUCCUUCGAGCGGGGAAUAGCCCGAAGAAAUUCGGAUUAAUACCCCAUAGUAAAUUGAAAAGGCAUCUUUUUAAUUUUAAAGUAUUAUCACUUGAGAUGCUGUGCGCCUGAUUAGGUAGUUGGCGGGGUAACGGG